AUUGAACGCUGGCGGCAGGCCUAACACAUGCAAGUCGAACGAGCGGCGGACGGGUGAGUAAUGUAUGGGGACUGCCCGAUAUAGGGGGAUAACUACUGGAAACGGUGGCUAAUACCGCAUACUAUCGGAUAACCCAUAUGGGAUUAGCUAGUAGGUGGGGUAAAGGCUCACCUAGGCGACGAUCUCUAGCUGGUCUGAGAGGAUGAUCAGCCACACUGGGACUGAGACACGGCCCAGACUCCUACGGAGGCAGCAGUGGGGAAUAUUGCAAAAUGGGCGAAAGCCUGAUGCAGCCAUGCCGCGUGUAUGAAGAAGGCCGUAGGGUUGUAAAGUACUUUCAGAGGGGAGGCGUUACCCGCAGAAGAAGCAACGGCUAACUCCGUGCCAGCAGCCGCGGUAAUUC
rnacentral:rRNA from 1 species